UACGUAGGGUGCGAGCGUUGUCCGGAAUUAUUGGGCGUAAAGGGCUCGUAGGCGGUUUGUCGCGUCGGGAGUGAAAACCCAGGGCUUAACUCUGGGCUUGCUUUCGAUACGGGCAGACUAGAGGUAUGCAGGGGAGAACGGAAUUCCUGGUGUAGUGGUGAAAUGCGCAGAUAUCAGGGAGGAACACCGGGUGGCGAAGGCGGUUCUCCUGGGCAUUGACCUGACGCUGAGGAGCGAAAGUGUGGGGAGCGAACAGG
rnacentral:rRNA from 1 species